rnacentral:rRNA from 1 species
UACAGAGGUGGCAAGCGUUGUUCGGAAUUACUGGGCGUAAAGGGCGAGUAGGUGGCCAUCUAAGUCAGACGUGAAAUCCCCCGGGCUCAACCCGGGAACUGCGUCCGAUACUGGAAGGCUUGAAUCCGGGAGAGGGAUGCGGAAUUCCAGGUGUAGCGGUGAAAUGCGCAGAUAUCAGGAGGAACACCGGUGGCGAAGGCGGGUCUCUGGGCCGAUACUGACGCUGAGGAGCGAAAGCGUGGGGGAGCGAACAGG